rnacentral:snRNA from 1 species
AUGCUUGCUUUGGCAGCACAUACACGAAAAUUGGAAUGACUCAGAGAUUAGCCAGGCCCUUGCAAAGGAUGACACACAAAUUCAUGAAGCACUCUAUUUUAUG